rnacentral:tRNA from 2 species
GGCGGCGUAGCUCAGUUGGUUAGAGCAUGGGAUUCAUAAGCCCAGGGUCAGUGGUUCGAAUCCACUCGCCGCUA